ACAGAGGGUGCGAGCGUUGUUCGGAAUUACUGGGCGUAAAGCGUGCGUAGACGGUUAUUUAAGUCGGAUGUGAAAGCCCCGGGCUCAACCUGGGAAUUGCAUUCGAGACUGAAUAGCUAGGGUACGGUAGAGGGAAGUGGAAUUUCCGGUGUAGCGGUGAAAUGCGUAGAGAUCGGGAGGAAGGCCGGUGGCGAAGGCGGCGCUCUGGAACGUACCUGACGCUGAGACACGAAAGCGUGGGGAGCAAACAGGA
rnacentral:rRNA from 1 species